CAGCAGCCGCGGGAAUACGAAUGGUGCAAGCGUUACUCGGAAUUACUGGGCGUAAAGCGUGCGUAGGUGGUGGUUUAAGUCCGUUGUGAAAGCCUUGGGCUCAACCUGGGAAUUGCAGUGGAUACUGGGUCACUAGAGUGUGGUAGAGGAUAGUGGAAUUUCCGGUGUAGCAGUGAAAUGCGUAGAGAUCGGAAGGAACAUCUGUGGCGAAGGCGACUAUCUGGGCCAACACUGACACUGAGGCACGAAAGCGUGGGGAGCAAACAGGAUUAGAUACCCCAGUAGUCCCUGUCUCUUAUAC
rnacentral:rRNA from 1 species